GGAGAGAUGGCCGAGUGGUUUAAGGCGGCGGUCUUGAAAACCGUUGUAGAGGAAUCUACCGGGGGUUCGAAUCCCUCUCUCUCCGCCA
rnacentral:tRNA from 1 species